rnacentral:rRNA from 1 species
ACGAACGCUGGCGGCGUGCUUAACACCUGCCAGUCGCACGGAAAGGCCCUGCUUGCAGGGUACUCGAGUGGCGAACGGGUGAGUAACACGUGGGUGAUCUGCCCUGCACUUCGGGAUAAGCUUGGGAAACUGGGUCUAAUACCGGAUAGGAGCCAUCUUUAGUGUGGUGGUUGGAAAGUUUUUUCGGUGUAGGAUGAGCUCGCGGCCUAUCAGCUUGUUGGUGGGGUAAUGGCCUACCAAGGCGGCGACGGGUAGCCGGCCUGAGAGGGUGUACGGCCACAUUGGGACUGAGAUACGGCCCAGACUCCUACGGGAGGCAGCAGUGGGGAAUAUUGCACAAUGGGCGCAAGCCUGAUGCAGCGACGCCGCGUGGGGGAUGAAGGCCUUCGGGUUGUAAACUCCUUUCGCUAGGGACGAAGCUUUUUUGUGACGGUACCUAGAUAAGAAGCACCGGCUAACUACGUG